AGUGUCGAGCAGUUGACGCGGGCUUUCCUUCUCUAUCUCCUUAGACAGACUUUGUUUGCCAACAAGGAUAGUUCAGUACAUACACAGCUCUUGGCCUCUUUGCAGCAUUUGGAGGUCGUUAGGGAGUUUGAUUGGGGAUCGUCUGCUUUAGCCACCCUAUAUGGCAAUCUUGGAGCCUAUUCUCGGGACAAGAGUCCCAUCCUCGGUGGUGACUACCGGGUACUUAAGCUCUGGGCUUUUGAGCACCUUCUCCAGUUUCCUAGUGAUACUAGACAUGAGGAUGCAAACUGUGUUCCUUGCUAUGAGCGAUGGUUGGUGGGGCAACGGAAGCCGCGGUCACCUGUUCUGAACCUUCUUGAAUGGAGACUGGUUUUGGACCGGUUGACAGUCGAUCAGGUACAUUUUGACCCUUGGGGUGGUGUACCAGAGGAUGCCCCUCUUGCGCGUUCCAGGAUUUUGGAUCGUACUCGUAGCUUGUUCGAGGGCCCAUAUUGCUGAGCCUGGUACUUAGGUGAUCAGGUGGCCAGUCAGUGGCGCCCGCGUGCUGAGGGACUUCAGUUUGUUCCUCCUCCUCCUCCAGCGUCGAUGAGGUUUACUUCUUCGAUGUCUAAGGAAGAUUUGAAGAAUGCUCAGAUCAGAGAUAGGGCAAGCUUGCUCUUCUAGGCGGG